UCAUUUGCUAAUGCUCCCGGAUAAGUCCAACUGGAUGCUCACGUUAGGUUCACUGACGAAGAUCGUAGAUGUUGCUAUGUUUCUAUGGAUGGCGAUCAAAUUUGUCCUACAUGCAGAACUAUAGUCUUCUAGUUUUUUGAAGAAGACGACGUACGAGAUCUUUCGUUAGCUACAAUAGGUGUACUAGCUCUUCCAUUAUUGGUUUCAGAAAUAGGUGCAUUGGUGGUUUGUAUGGCUGAAACCACAGCCCACAGACAAUUGUGUAUUUGAUAGAAAAUCUGGAAUUGCGUACUUUGGUAUAUGGCAAGUUGAAAUCGACAGUGCAAAAUCUAACAGAUACCUUAAAUGUGGUGGCAACUCGUUGAUAGUAAGAUUUUGUGUGGAGGACUUGUACACAGUAGCACCAUCAGUGUUCAGAGUAAAUGAUAUGUUCCAUGAUGACUGAAAGUAUGGAUCUAUCUCUGUGAGGUUGCGAUACUGAGCACUUGAAGUAAUAUCAGUCAUCUCAGAUGGAUUGCUGCCUCGUUUGUUGAAUGAUCUUAUAAUUUCUUUGCAAAAGUACUUGUCUACACCAAAAGUCUGCUUUCAGACAAAUGAACAACAACAACAACAAAGGCCCAAACCUGAAAAGAACUGAUUAAGUGUAUCUGAGAUUUUUAGAGUGAUGAACUCGUGGAUUUCUGACGUAAUGGCACUCAGGAAACAUUAGGGCAGUUGUGUCCUUCUACUAACACUUGUUUGCAACAGGAACAGAACUUUACUGCACUUGUCUCUGGCGUCUUUGACGUUGACCUUACGAACUUCUUUAUUCUACAAAUGACGGCAAGUGAGCCACUAGCAAGUUUACUAGAUCAGCAGCUGCUGUCAUAGUUAACUUGUGCUUCAGUACAAACAACAUGAUUAAAACAGCACUGGAUCCAACUGUCAUUGAAGACCCUGGAAAGAUGACGUCUUCAAAAGCGUUUGCAAUCAUGUUAGUAUUCUUAUCAUUGUCAUGAUUGUUUUCAGUAUUGUCACCAGUAUUCUUAAACCGGACAACAUCGUCAUCCUCAUCAUUGUCGUCGUCGUCGUCGUCGUCGUCGUCGUCGUCGUCGUCGUCGUCGUCAUCGUCAUCGUCGUCGUCAUUGUCGUCGUCGUCAUCAUCAUCAUUGUCGUCAUCAUCAUCAUCAUUCUGAUCAUCAUCAUUGCAGUUACCAUGCCUAAAUCCACUACUAUCAUCUCCAUCUUUAUCAGCUGUGUCAAAGACACACAGAUCUACAUGUACAUGACAUGCAUCAUGUCUAGUCAUUACCUACCAUUCAUUGAAAAGGUUUCAUUGGGGAUCUCACACUCUUCUAAAUUAUUAUCUUGUCGACUUGUGUCAAGAACAUCUGUGACCCAAGACAAGACAAUAGAGUAUUUUACUGUCCGCGUGAUGCAUGUCAAAUCUGUCUAAUAAUACUUUACUGCUAGAAACAUUCUCUUGUGAUUGGUGUUGUUUAUGAACAAUUAAGAUUAAUUAAAUUAAUACUAAUUUAA